UUUCAGAGCCAGAGAUCGACAGCCUGUUCCAGAUCACAUGGAGAUCUGUGACCUCGGGCUCUGACGCG
ensembl:miRNA ipu-mir-7563c ipu-mir-7563c